GCCAGGGCCAUCUUGUCUUCUCCUUACUGUACAUGUGGCUGGCAAAGAAGGGAAGGUGGAGCCGCUAUUUUGAACAUGAUUGGCACAACUGCCAGCAUCUAUGUCUGCAGCUCAAUUUUACAGGCUGCUCUUUGUUGGAAAGGAAAAUGAUUUGGGGCUACUUUUCAUUAAAAGGAAAACCUUACUGAAAACUUCCAUACCCUCACUCUCUGUCUUAUUUUCUAGGUUUGGGACUUCUCCAUACCUCCUGCGGCUUUAUGUUAUCUGGUAUUAUUUCCCCAGACCAUGAGUCUCCAGUGUUGGAGUGCCCACUUCAGAAGUCUGUGUGUUUUGCUUCAUCCUGAGGAUCCCAUCUUGGAUACCACAGUGCCUUAAACGCUGCCUCAGCCAGGUGAUCAAGGUCAGUGUCUACUGUGAUAAGUCAUGUUUUUGGUGUGUACCCUUGAUGUGAUGUGAUAGAAAUGGCACUUUACCCCUGUGGUCUUCCUCUGAAAAAUCCCAUAACAGCAGCCUAAUCAGGAGAAGCACAUCAACAAAACUGAAACUCAGGGACAUUCUACAAAAUGCCAGGCUGUCCCUCCUCAAAAUUGUCAAGUUCACCAAAAACAAGGUGAAUCUAAGAAACCUGUUGCAGCCAAGAGGAGCCUAAGAAGACAUGAGGACUAAAUGUAACAUGGAAUUUGGGAUAGGAUUGUGCAACAGAAAAUGUACGUGCUAAUGUGAGAUGUUAACAAUUGCAGAAACUCAGUGUUGGGUAAAAGGAAUUCUCUGUACUAUGUUUGAGACUUACCUAUAAACCUAACAUUGCUCUACAACAAAAAAAGUUUACCUAAAAACAACUCUGUGGUGAGCAAACUUAAGCAUAGAAAUGUUAAAUAAAUUGUCCAAAAUAGAGAAGUAAAUAGCAGUGCCAGGUUUCAAGCAUAAGAAUCAUCAACUCUGAACUUUAAACACAGCUCUGUAUGGUACUUUUGUUUAUAUCAAUGCCUAGACAGACAAAUAGAUAGAUAAUUUCCAAGUGCUAGAAACAAAAAAGGAACUAAAACUGAUAAAGAAUAUAAAUGAGGCCAGGCAGGCUGGCUCACACCUGUAAUCCCAGCAUUUUGGGAGGCUGAGGCAGGCAGAUCACUGAAGGUUCAGAGUUCAAGACCAGCCUGGCCAACUGGUGAAACCCUGUCUCUACUAAAUAAAUAAAUAAAUAAAUAAAUAAAUAAAUAAAUAAAUAAAAUAGCCAGGUGUGAUGGCAUGUGCCUGUGAAGCAAGAGAUGUGAGAGGAAAAACAAAUUUUCCCUCUUUCUUUUGGUAUAAGCAGCUUCCCCCUUGAAUCCCUCCUCACUCCGUGUGAUUUUACCCUGCUCUGCAAGUUUUAUGAGUUUGUAGAUUCCUGUUUUCUGUAACUAGUGUCUGUAAGUCUCCGUAGCACCAUGGAGGUAAUGAGACAUGCUUGAGCAAGCUUAGAUUGCAGCCAUCUGGGCGCCAUAGUGAAGGACACGAGAUAAGGCUGUGCAGGCAUCUUGAGCAAACCUAGAUAACAGCCACCUGGCCUGCACAGCAAGAGUCAUAUGUAAGCUUGAGUUAGGAACCUGUCACAGUUUGAUUUACUGCCUUUG
rnacentral:lncRNA from 1 species